GGUUAUGGGAACAAACACAAAUUGAUAUUAUAGCCUUUUUUAUAAUGACAAGAGAUGGGCAUAAUAAUCGAUCAAUUGAUCAUAAAGGAUUCUUGUGUGGCGCCGAUUGUUAAUAGUUUUUCAAGGGGUCAGAUGAUGUUGAAUUGACUUUGCAUCGAUUUCAU